rnacentral:rRNA from 1 species
GACGUAGGGUGCGAGCGUUGUCCGGAUUUAUUGGGCGUAAAGAGCUCGUAGGCGGCUCGUCGCGUCGACCGUGAAAACCCGCGGCUUAACUGCGGGCUUGCGGUUGAUACGGGCGGGCUAGAGUUCGGUAGGGGAGACUGGAAUUCCUGGUGUAGCGGUAGAAAUGCGCAGAUAUCAGGAGGAACACCGGUGGCGAAGGCGGGUCUCUGGGCCGAUACUGACGCUGAGGAGCGAAAGCGUGGGGAGCGAACAGG